rnacentral:rRNA from 1 species
GGUACGUAAAGUUCUUUUAUUAGGGAAGAAUAAAUGAUGGAAAAAUCAUUCUGACGGUACCUAAUGAAUAAGCCCCGGCUAACUAUGUGCCAGCAGCCGCGGUAAUACAUAGGGGGCAAGCGUUAUCCGGAAUUAUUGGGCGUAAAGGGUGCGUAGGCGGUUAAAUAAGUUUAUGGUCUAAGUGCAAUGCUUAACAUUGUGAUGCUAUAAAAACUGUUUAGCUAGAGUAAGAUAGAGGCAAGUGGAAUUCCAUGUGUAGUGGUAAAAUGCGUAAAUAUAUGGAGGAACACCAGUAGCGAAGGCGGCUUGCUGGGUCUUUACUGACGCUGAGGCACGAAAGCGUGGGGAGCAAACAGGAUUAGAUACCCUGGUAGUCCACGCCGUAAACGAUGAGUACUAAACGUUGGGUAAAACCAGUGUUGAAGUUAACACAUUAAGUACUCCGCCUGAGUAGUACGUACGCAAGUAUGAAACUUAAAGGAAUUGACGGGACUCCGCACAAGCGGUGGAUCAUGUUGUUUAAUUCGAAGGUACCCGAAAAACCUCACCAGGUCUUGACAUGCUUCUGCAAAGCUGUAGAAACACAGUGGAGGUUAUCAGUUGCACAGGUGGUGCAUGGUUGUCGUCAGCUCGUGUCGUGAGAUGUUGGGUUAAGUCCCGCAACGAGCGCAACCCUUAUUGUUAGUUGCCAGCACGUAAUGGUGGGGACUUUAGCAAGACUGCCAGUGAUAAAUUGGAGGAAGGUGGGGACGACGUCAAAUCAUCAUGCCCCUUAUGAC